UACGGAGGGGGCUAGCGUUGUUCGGAAUUACUGGGCGUAAAGCGCACGUAGGCGGCUUUGUAAGUUAGAGGUGAAAGCCUGGAGCUCAACUCCAGAACUGCCUUUGAGACUGCAUCGCUUGAAUCCAGGAGAGGUGAGUGGAAUUCCGAGUGUAGAGGUGAAAUUCGUAGAUAUUCGGAAGAACACCAGUGGCGAAGGCGGCUCACUGGACUGGUAUUGACGCUGAGGUGCGAAAGCGUGGGGAGCAAACAGG
rnacentral:rRNA from 1 species